rnacentral:rRNA from 1 species
GAUGAACGCUGACAGCAUGCUUAACACAUGCAAGUCGACUGUGGCGGACGGGUGAGUAACGCGUAAAGAACUUGCCUCACAGAUAGGGACACCAUUUGGAAACGAAUGCUAAUACCUGAUACUGUGAGAGAGCUUUGCGUCCCAUUAGCUAGUUGGAGAGGUAACGGCUCACCAAGGCGAUGAUGGGUAGCCGGCCUGAGAGGGUGAUCGGCCACAAGGGGACUGGGACACGGCCCUUAGUGCUACGGGGGGCAUGAGUGGGGAAUAGUGGACAAUGGACCAAAGUCUGAUCCAGCAAUUCUGUGUGCACGAUGAAGUUUUCGGAAUGUAAAGUGCUUUCAGUUGGGAAGCAGUACCAACAGAAGAAGUGACGGCUAAAUACGUGCCAGCAGCCGCGGUAAUAC